AAAUAUUUUAUGAUGCAAGAAAUGGUACAAUCCCAACUCGCUCGUCCCCACAAGAUAGAACUCACAUUUAAAAGCUCAAUUUAAUCGUGUUUCGAUAUGGGUUUGGAAAAAAAACUCCGAAGGUAAUUAGUUUCAACAUACCUCAAAUUGCUUCCAACCUUACCCCAAAUGAUCGAAUAAUGCUGACGAGUCACAAUCUACAUUUUUGAACUUGCAGAAUUUAAUAACGCGUCAUAACAAUACCAACUAACCCAAUUAAGUGUCUAACACUUUAAGUCCAAUUUCAUAAGUCUAGCAAAAAUCUCCAUUUCAUCAUUUGAAGGUAUAUCCUUGAAGUUUAACUCCAAAUCUUUUAUUAAAUAUAUUACGGGAUCUAGUAAUUUCACUAGAAGCUCAAAAUAAUAUUUUUCAAACAAGACCUAACACUAUUCAUCAUUCCUAUCAACAAACUCUUCUAGGGUCUCAUGAAUAGAUGUUUAAAAACAAUCCUACCUUCAUAAAUACACUCUACAACGUUUAUGGAGUGUAAUACCUAAGCUUCUUGGAGUGUUCUUGAGAUUUACUUCAAGAAUCUAUAUUUUUCAUGUAAUUGAAGAGUUAAGAGAUGUAUUUAAUGGACCAAAUCUACCAUUAAGGAUAUUAAAUUUUUACCUUGAAGAAGUAGUAAUGGUAGAGAGCUCCCUUCUCUCUCUCUCUAAGUCUUUAAGAACCGACUCCCAAAUAAUUGAACAACCCUUGCCCAUAAUAGCCUUUAAAGACAUUCAGCAGAUUAAAGACGUAAAUGAUACGUCGCAUCUCCAUCGCGCGCAUCCUUCUCAUUCAGCAAAUUUGGACGUGAGGUUUGACGCCUACAAUGCAGUUCACUGCUCAAAUGAUGGGCUUUUGCCUC
rnacentral:lncRNA from 1 species